rnacentral:lncRNA from 1 species
AGGGCAGCUGUGCUACUUUUGUUUCGACAAUUCAAAGGUAGCCAGCAAAUAGGGCGAUGAGGGAGGCGGCGGGGAGGAGGAGGAGGAUGGAGGAGUUGCGGUUAUGUGAGGGUGAGAGAGUGAAGGAGGCAUGCGGGAAAAAAAAAAUUAAGGGUACUGGCAGCAUGGGAGAGGGGUAUGGAGGGGAGUACAGGGGGGGCAGCAUGGAAGAGGGGUAUGGAGGGCGGUACGGGGA